ACACUCUGGUUUCUCUUCAGAUAGCAGACAUUUUUCGCCUUCUACUAAAGCUGUCCGUGGAGAGGAACAGUUAUACGUUAAAUUUCAAAA
rfam:Alligator sinensis unplaced genomic scaffold scaffold264_1, whole genome shotgun sequence